rnacentral:rRNA from 1 species
GCUCCAGUAGCGUAUAUUAAAGUUGUUGCGGUUAAAAAGCUCGUAGUUGGAUUUGUAGUUUCUUGCCAUCCGGCGGAAACACUUUCCUGUAAAGGAAUUUUUACUUUGAAGAAAUUAGAGCGUUCCAGGCAAGUGAAAGCUUUGAAUACAUUAGCAUGGUAUAAAGAUAAAGGAUAUAUUCUUAGGUUUCAGAAUAUAGC